rnacentral:misc_RNA from 1 species
CAGGCCCAUACAUUCUGAGCGCAACAACGAAAUACAGGAUAGAGCCAUAUCUCCAUGGUUCCAUGAACAAACCCACAAACCAUCAAGCAGUCUCACACUACCAAAUUUAUAGUGACACACAAAUCCAUAAUAGACAAGUCCAUAUUGCAAGAUCAUGAAAGGCAUGGCAAUGCUUAUUUCACACGAUCUUUGAGCGCAUCGAGACUGAUUUCGCCGGCGUCAGUAGCCUGCACUUCCAACUG